ACGGGGGGUGCAAGCGUUGUUCGGAAUUAUUGGGCGUAAAGAGCGUGUAGGCGGCCGGAUAUGUCAGAUGUGAAAUCCCUGGGCUUAACCCAGGAAGUGCAUUUGAAACUGUCCGGCUAGAGUAGGGGAGAGGGGGGUGGAAUUCCUGGUGUAGCGGUGAAAUGCGUAGAGAUCGGGAGGAAGACGGGUGGCGAAGGCGGCCUCAUGGACCAAGACUGACGCUGAGGUGCGAAAGCGUGGGGAGCAAACAG
rnacentral:rRNA from 1 species